UUAGAAUCGCAAUUUUAUGCUGGUCUGCUGAAUAUCAUUGGGCAUUUGGUGUUGGACUAUCAGCAACUUGGGUGCCCGGUGUCUCUAGCAGCCUAUCGGCCAGGUGAUCUGGAUCCAGCCCAGGCAGACUGGAGGGAGAAGCCACCUUGUUCCCCACCUCUGAUGGGUUGGCUUGAUUGUCCUGCUCACCAUUGUCUGGGAUGGUACCGGGCCUUUCAUCCAAUGUGGUGACCGGGCCUUUCAUCUUCUGCAGCAUCUGGGAUGGUCUGGGGGCCUGGGUCUUGAGAGGCAUCUGUAGUGACUUCCACGUUGUCUGGUUGAGCCUCAGUGGCCAGGAGUAAGUCAGUUCCCUGUUCCAGUUCUGUGGGAGGUGCUUCUCCUAUGAAGGGCUGUUGUGUUGUCUCUGGAUAUUGGGUUACCACUGGGUGGGGGACUCCCCUUCCCUCUCCUGGGCUGCCUCCAUCCCCAUUGUAAUUUCCACAGCAUCCAUGUGGGGGGGCCUCUGCAAUGCAGGGCUGGGUGCUACGAGGUGUAAGCAGCCUGUCUGGGACAAGAAGGGCAGUGACACUGUCAAAGUUUGGGUCUGUAGACAACAUCACUCCUGGAUGUAGAUUCAUCCUUUUAGCAGCCUCUGCAUUUGCUGUGCUAGGCUGUGUGUUGGGCAGGGGGGGCAGGUGAUCACAGUCGCUCUCCACCCCUAAGUCGAUAGUGAAGUCAGCUGGAUUAACCCUUAGGAGUGUUUUGAUUGGAGAUCUUAACUGGAUUUCCAUAGGGUCAGUGAUAUCUAGGUCAGUAUCUGUGUCUGAAGCUGAGCUGAGAUGACCAUCAUCAUCAUGUCUAUCUGGAUACAGUCUUUGGAGGAGGGCAGCCAGUUUAUUUUUAAGCUGCAUCAGGUCGUCUUGCUUGCAUGUUUGGCAGUUUGCCAGUUCAGCAGGGAGAGUUGGCAUCGUCUUAUCAGAAGUAGCAGGCUGAGUAUGUGACCUUGGUGUUGGAAUCAACGAGGCAGUGCCAUAAUUACUGCGUUUGACUGUACCGGAGCCGUUGAAUAAGUCUCUAGUGCCAAAAUCUUUGAAUACACGCUGGGGAGUAAUCUUAUAUGUUCUCAAAAGGUGUUUAAUAUGAAGUAACUGGGUAGGCACUCUGGAUGUUUUAAACUCUAAAAGUAAUCUUUUGUGAUCCUGCUGAGAUGGCAGAAAACAGAAGUGUUCAUUCUCUGAAGAAGAAACUUGGAAGUUUAGAAUUUGGGAAAGCGAGAACCCUUCGUCUGAUGCAGAACGCAGGUUGCAUCGUUUGGAUGUUCGGACGACAUUGUCCUUCUGUGUUCAAAGGUCGGCAGAGUGGAGGAAAACUCCUCUGUUUUGUAUGAUGGGCCUCGCAAAUGCUUGCAAGAUUCUUCUCAGUCCCUGUCUAAUGGAUUGUUUCUACUAAUAAACUUUGCUACAGCUUGGCAAAUAAAUAAUUGCCUGCAACUGUUAAGGCGCACUCAGUUAGGUCCAAGGUGGCCUCUGUUGCCUUUGAUCGUGAAGUCCAUUUGGACACUAUCUGUCAAGCGGCUACUUGGGCCUUGCCCCAUUCCUUUAUUCGUCAUAAUGCUAUUGGUGCCAGGGCGCGGAAGGAUGCUAAGUUUGGCAGGACUGUCCUGCAGUCUAUUUUCAGUUGAUGUACUUUGUUUCUUUGAAAUAAAUACUUCUUGCAGAGUGCAUCCCUA